UAUCUUAAUGGAGGGAAUUUUCCCUAGCCUUCAAAUGACUUGUUUUUCUUGCAGCGUUCAAUUUUUCAACAUCCUCUUUAAAAUAUGGAUUCCAGAACUUGAUGCAGUAUUCCACUAUCUGUCUCUCACCACUGUCAUAUGAAGAGGUAAAAGCACCCUCCUGGUCCUACUCACUACUUCUGUUUUAUACAUCCACAGAUUGCAUUAGCCCUUUUUGCCACAGUACUCCACUGGAAGGUCAUGUGGGAGUUGCUUGUCUAUUAUGACCCCCUAAUCCUUUUUGGAGUCACUGCUUCCCAGGAUAAAGUUACCCUUCCUGUCUCCCGCAUGCAGUGAGGAAGGCAUAAAACUCCACCUGACACUUUCCCGAGAGGGCAAAAUUCCUUCCUGACUACAAAAGGUGACCCUGGAAACCCUACGCUGACCCCUAUAGGAGAAGCAAUGGACCUGGCGUGUAACUCAGGGAGGUUCUGACAUCCAUUAAUCUGAUUGCUGAGACUUGCAUUUCAGCUCAUUAAAGAAAGAACUAAACAGUACUGAUUGAGACAAGCAUGGAAAUGGCAAAAGUUUCACUCUGGAUCAACUUUGUGAAGAUCUUCACAUUUCACGUGGGAAUGCUUACUACAAGUUUUUAAUCUGC